rnacentral:rRNA from 1 species
AAUCAAGUGCCUAAAGGGCGUCUGGUGGAUGCCUUGGCGGUAAGAGGCGAUGAAGGACGUGAUACGCUGCGAUAAGCUUCGGGGAGCUGCGAAUGAGCUUUGAUCCGAGGAUUUCCGAAUGGGGAAACCCACCUUCGAUAACGGAAUUCCGAGACUUCGGUCUCGGAUACGAGAUUCUUCAGUAGCCCUGCACGGGUGAAACGAGGUUUCGGAUUUCCGUUAUCACAAGAAGGGAUAAAACUUCUGAAUACAUAGGAGGUUUUAAGCGAACCCAGAGAACUGAAACAUCUCAGUACCUGGAGGAAAGGACAUCAACCGAGACUCCGCUAGUAGUGGCGAGCGAACGCGGACCAGGCCAGUGAUAAUCGUUAGACAAGUGGAACCUUCUGGAAAGUUGGGCCAUAGCGGGUGACAGCCCCGUACACGUAAUGCGAGCGAUUAUCCUUGAGUAAGGCGGGACACGUGCAAUCCUGUCUGAACACGGGGGGACCACCCUCCAAGCCUAAGUACUCCUUACCGACCGAUAGCGAACAAGUACCGUGAGGGAAAGGUGAAAAGCACCCCGACGAGGGGAGUGAAACAGUUCCUGAAACCGGACGCCUACAAACAGUCGGAGCCCAAGAUUCGUUCUGGGUGACGGCGUACCUUUUGUAUAAUGGGUCAGCGACUUAAUUUAUCGAGCAAGCUUAAGCCGAUAGGCGUAGGCGCAGCGAAAGCGAGUCUGAAUAGGGCGACAAGUUCGAUGGAUUAGACCCGAAACCUAGUGAUCUAGCCAUGAGCAGGUUGAAGGUGAGGUAACACUCACUGGAGGACCGAACCGGUGCCUGUUGAAAAAGUCUCGGAUGACUUGUGGUUAGGGGUGAAAGGCCAACCAAACUGGGAAAUAGCUGGUUCUCCGCGAAAACUAUUUAGGUAGUGCCUCGUGUGAAUGCUCUCGGGGGUAGAGCACUGGAUGGGCUAGGGGGUCUCGCAGACUUACCAAACCUAACCAAACUCCGAAUACCGAGAAGCACUGCACGGGAGACAGACGGCGGGUGCUAACGUCCGUCGUCGAGAGGGCAACAACCCUGACCAACAGCUAAGGCCCCUAAUUCGUGGCUAAGUGGGAAAGGAUGUGAGGUACCUUAAACAACCAGGAGGUUGGCUUAGAAGCAGCCAUCCUUUAAAGAAAGCGUAACAGCUCACUGGUCUAAACAAGGGUACUUGCGCCGAAGAUGUACCGGGGCUCAAGCCACGAGCCGAAGCUUUGGGUUUACGCGCAAGCGUAAGCGGUAGCGGAGCGUUCUGUAAGCCUGUGAAGGGAUACCCGUGAGGGAUCCUGAAGGUAUCAGAAGUGCGAAUGCUGACAUGAGUAACGAAAAACAGUGUGAAAGACACUGUCGCUGAAAGUCCAAGGGUUCCUGCGUAAAGCUAAUCUUCGCAGGGUCAGCCGGCCCCUAAGGCGAGGGCGAAAGCCGUAGUCGAUGGGAAUCAGGCGAACAUUCCUGAGCCAGCGGGUAGUGACGGAUUCCGUAUAUUGUCAUCUCUUAUUGGAUUGAGAUGGCCGUGAAGGGGUCCCAGGAAAUAGCUCCCGCAUGAGACCGUACCCGAAACCGACACAGGUGGACUGGUAGAGCAUACCAAGGCGCUUGAGAGAAGGAUGUUGAAGGAACUCGGCAAUUUGCCUCCGUAACUUCGGGAUAAGGAGGCCCUCUGCUUACGCAAGUAGGCAGGGGGGACACAAACCAGGGGGUGGCGACUGUUUAUCAAAAACACAGGGCUCUGCGAACUCGGAAGAGGACGUAUAGGGUCUGACGCCUGCCCGGUGCCGGAAGGUUAAGGCGAGGAGUGCAAGCUCUGAACCGAAGCCCCGGUAAACGGCGGCCGUAACUAUAACGGUCCUAAGGUAGCGAAAUUCCUUGUCGGGUAAGUUCCGACCUGCACGAAUGGCGUAACGACUUCCCCGCUGUCUCCAACAUCUGCUCAGUGAAAUUGAAUUCCCCGUGAAGAUGCGGGGUUCCUGCGGUCAGACGGAAAGACCCCGUGCACCUUUACUGUAGCUUUGCACUGGCAUUCGUAUCGGCAUGUGUAGAAUAGGUGGUAGGCUUUGAAUCUUGGGCGCCAGCUCGAGUGGAGCCGCAAUUGAAAUACCACCCUUACUAAUAUGGAUGUCUAACCGCGGUCCGUUAUCCGGAUCCGGGACAGUGCAUGGUGGGCAGUUUGACUGGGGCGGUCGCCUCCCAAAGAGUAACGGAGGCGUGCGAAGGUGGGCUCAGAGCGGUCGGAAAUCGCUCGUUGAGUGCAAUGGCAUAAGCCUGCCUGACUGCGAGACUGACAAGUCGAGCAGAGUCGAAAGACGGCCAUAGUGAUCCGGUGGUCCCUCGUGGAAGGGCCAUCGCUCAACGGAUAAAAGGUACGCCGGGGAUAACAGGCUGAUACUGCCCAAGAGUCCAUAUCGACGGCAGUGUUUGGCACCUCGAUGUCGACUCAUCACAUCCUGGGGCUGGAGCAGGUCCCAAGGGUUCGGCUGUUCGCCGAUUAAAGUGGUACGUGAGUUGGGUUCAGAACGUCGUGAGACAGUUCGGUCCCUAUCUGCCGUGGGUGUCGGAGAAUUGAGAGGAUUUGUCCCUAGUACGAGAGGACCGGGAUGAACGUACCUCUGGUGGAGCAGUUGUCGCGCCAGCGGCAGUGCUGCGUAGCUAUGUACGGACGGGAUAACCGCUGAAAGCAUCUAAGCGGGAAACCCACCUCGAAACGAGUUCUCCCUAUCAGAGCCGUGGAAGACUACCACGUUGAUAGGCCGGGUGUGUAAGUACAGCAAUGUAUUCAGCUUACCGGUACUAAUAGCUCGAUCGGCUUGAUUGC